UUGAAGCUUUUAACUGCCUUAUUUGUUUGGAUUCCAAACCAAUUAUGGACAUCUUCCAAACAAACAAGUCAACUACUACGACAUGUUCACAUUCUUGUUGCACUGAUUGCAUUUCUAAACACAUUAUUGCAAAGGUCGACGAUAACAUCCCUAUUGUUGAAUGCCCAGAUGUCGAUUGCCAGGAGGUUAUCGAUUUUGAUUCUUGCAUUACCAUCAUCCCCAACCAAAUUUUGGAAAGAUGGGAGGAAGUAUUAUCGAAAGCUAAGAUUUCAUCAAUUACGGGUUUAUAUUGCCCUUUCAAAGAGUGCUCUGCUGCACUCCUAUCUGCAGCAUGUGAAACGACGUCGUCGAAAGCAGAGUGUCCGCAUUGCAAAAGGAACUUUUGUACAAAAUGCAACGUUGCAUGGCAUAAUGGGAUGGGAUGGAAUGCGCAGAAUUUCAGAAAUUAGGCGAUAAUGAGAAGGCUAAUGAAGAUGUUAUGCUUAGAAACCUCGCUAAGGAUAAGCUUUGGGCAAGAUGCCCUAAUUGUAAGUUUUACGUCGAAAGAACCCAAGGUUGUCGACAUAUCGUCUGUAGGUGUCGUUUUGAAUUUUGCUAUGGUUGUGGAUUAGACUUUCAGAUAUGCAGUUAUGGAGCAUGUGGUUAGGGGCCGGAGAGGAUGACUCUUGAAAGCUAUUAUUACUACAACUUACAAGAUGAUUGAUCGAGUUGGAGCGUGAUUAAGAAAUCUAAUUAAACUUGUUCCAUGAUUAGUUUUUUCCUUUCUUCAAGAGAUUUUAAUUUAUUACUCCGUAAUCUUAUAUUUAGGCCUUUGUUGUAAAGGAGUCUCAUAACUCAAAUUUCCAAGUGUUCCGCUUAG